rnacentral:rRNA from 1 species
GACGAACGCUGGUGGCGUGCUUAACACAUGCAAGUCGAACGGAAUUUAGUAGACAGAAUCCUAGGUGGAAGAUUACUUAUGAUAGAGGGGAACGGGUGAGUAACGCGUGUGCGUCAUGCCUCUGACAGAGGGAUAGCCCAGGCAAAACAGAAUGAAUACCGCAUAAAAUCUUACAAAACCAUGUGUUAACGAUCAAAAAUUUAUCAGUCAUUGAUGAGCUCGCGUCGUAUUAUUUAGUUGGUGGGAUAAAAGCCCACCAACCCGACGAUCAUUAGCCGGUAGGAGAGGAUGAACGGCCACAUUGGAACUGAGACACGGUCAAAAAUCUAACGGGAGGAAGCAGUGGGGAAUAUUCGACAAUGGGGGAAACCUUGAUGCAGCGCCGCGGGGUGAAAGAAAAAGGUAUUCGAAUAGUAAAGUCUUGUAUUAUGGGAAGAUAAUGACAGUACUAAAGAAAAAAGCUCCGGCUAAAUACGUG